GAUGAACGCUGGCGGCGCGCCUAACACAUGCAAGUCGAACGGUUAAAGCACCUUUUAGGUGUGUCUAAAGUGGCGAACGGCUGAGUAACACGUGGGCAACCUGCCCUCCUCUUGGGGAUAGCCUCGGGAAACCGAGGAUAAUACCCGAUACUUCAAUGUGGCCGCAUGACGACAUUGAGAAAGCUUUUGCGGAGAAGGAUGGGCCCGCGGCCUGUUAGCUUGUUGGUGGGGUAGAGGCCUACCAAGGCAAUGAUGGGUAGCUGGGUUGAGAGACCGACCAGCCAGAUUGGGACUGAGACACGGCCCAGACUCCUACGGGAGGCAGCAGUGGGGAAUCUUGCACAAUGGGCGAAAGCCUGAUGCAGCGACGCCGCGUGCGGGACGAAGGCCUUCGGGUUGUAAACCGCUUUCAGCAGGGACGAGGCGAAAGUGACGGUACCUGCAGAAGAAGCCCCGGCUAACUACGUGCCAGCAGCCGCGGUAAUACGUAGGGGGCAAGCGUUAUCCGGAUUCAUUGGGCGUAAAGCGCUCGUAGGCGGUCUGUUAGGUCGGGAGUUAAAUCCGGAGGCUCAACCUCCGCCCGCUCCCGAUACCGGCAGACUUGAGUUUGGUAGGGGAAGGUGGAAUUCCUAGUGUAGCGGUGGAAUGCGCAGAUAUUAGGAAGAACACCAGUGGCGAAGGCGGCCUUCUGGGCCAUAACUGACGCUGAGGAGCGAAAGCUAGGGGAGCAAACAGG
rnacentral:rRNA from 1 species